GGGAUGUAGUUCUGUGGUAGAACACUUGCUUAGCAUGUGCAAGGCCCUGGGUUCAAUCCCCAGCACUGCCC
rnacentral:tRNA from 1 species